rnacentral:rRNA from 1 species
GAUGAGCGCUGGCGGCGUGCCUAAUACAUGCAAGUCGAGCGAACAGACGAGGAGCUUGCUCCUCUGACGUUAGCGGCGGACGGGUGAGUAACACGUGGAUAACCUACCUAUAAGACUGGGAUAACUUCGGGAAACCGGAGCUAAUACCGGAUAAUAUAUUGAACCGCAUGGUUCAAUAGUGAAAGACGGUUUUGCUGUCACUUAUAGAUGGAUCCGCGCCGCAUUAGCUAGUUGGUAAGGUAACGGCUUACCAAGGCAACGAUGCGUAGCCGACCUGAGAGGGUGAUCGGCCACACUGGAACUGAGACACGGUCCAGACUCCUACGGGAGGCAGCAGUAGGGAAUCUUCCGCAAUGGGCGGAAGCCUGACGGAGCAACGCCGCGUGAGUGAUGAAGGUCUUCGGAUCGUAAAACUCUGUUAUUAGGGAAGAACAAAUGUGUAAGUAACUAUGCACGUCUUGACGGUACCUAAUCAGAAAGCCACGGCUAACUACGUG